rnacentral:rRNA from 1 species
AUUUAUAAAAUUUUAUUUUAGUUUAAUAGAUUAAAGAAUUUAGGUGUAUAUUUUAAAAAAUAUUUUUAAUUAAAAAUUAAAUAUUUUUAGUAAUGAUUAUUGAAAUUUUAAUAAUAAGAUUAUAAUAAAUAAGUAUUGAAAAAGAAUAGUAUUUUUAAUAAUUUAGUAGAAAAAUUAAAUUACCUUUUGUAUCAGGGAUAUUUUAAGUUUAUUAAAAUAAUAUUAAAAUCUCGAAAAAAAAAGAGCUAAUUUUUAUUGAUUGUUAUUAUAUCAAUAAUAUUUUUAAAUAAAAAUUAGUAAUGAAAUGUUUAUCGGAUUUUUUAAUAUCUAGUUAUUAAAAAAUAGAAUUUAAUUCUUAUAUUUAUUUUAAGUUAAUAAAAUAUAAAUUAUAAAAGGGAAAAGCUUUUUAUAAAGUAUAAAAAUAUAAAUAUUAUAAAAAAGUUAAAGAAAUAGGCUUAAAAUUAGUUAUUUUUAUAUUAUGUUAUAAUUAAUUAUAUUAAUUUUAUUAUUUAAGGAUAAUUUAUUUAAAAUUAUUUAAUAAUAAAAAGUAAUUUUAAGAUUUAAGUUAGAAUGAAUAUAUUAGUAGAUAUAUAAAUAUAAUUAUUGUUUUUAAAUUAUUAUUGAAUAAAUUAAAAAAUUUUAGAAAAGUAUAAAUAUAAAUAAGGAAUUUGGCAAAAAAUAUUUCCACCUGUUUAUCAAAAACAUGUCUGUAUGAGGAAAUAUAGAGUCGUACCUGCCCAUUGAAGUUUAAAAGGCCGCGGUAAUUUGACCGUGCAAAGGUAGCAUAAUCAUUAGUUUUUUAAUUAAAAAUUUGUAUGAAGGGUUUGAUGAGAGAUAGUCUGUCUUAUUUAUAUAUAUUGAAUUUGACUUUUAAGUGAAAAGGCUUAAAUAAAAUAAAGGGACGAUAAGACCCUAUAAAAUUUAAUAUAAAUUAUAUUAUUUUAUAAAAUUAUUAGUUUAUUAUAAAAUAAUAUAAUAAUAUUUUAUUGGGGCGAUAGGAAUAUAAAAUAUUAACUGUUCUUUUUAAAAAUUAGUUAAUAAUUAGUUAAGUUGAUCCUUAUUUUAAGAUUUAAAGAUAAAGUUACUUUAGGGAUAACAGCGUAAUUUUUUUUGAGAGUUCUUAUCGAUAAAAGAGAUUGCGACCUCGAUGUUGAAUUAAAAAUUCUUUAUAAUGUAGCAGUUAUAAAAGAAGGUCUGUUCGACCUUUAAAUUUUUACAUGAUUUGAGUUCAAACCGGUGUAAACCAGGUUGGUUUUUAUCUUUUAUUUUAAAAAAAAAUAUUUUAGUACGAAAGGAUUAAAUAUUAUAAAUAAUUUAAUAGAAAAAGAAUUUUUUUAAUUUUAAAAUUAAAUAAGUUAAAUUU